rnacentral:rRNA from 1 species
GAUGAACGCUGGCGGCGUGCCUAAUACAUGCAAGUCGAGCGAACAGACGAGGAGCUUGCUCCUCUGACGUUAGCGGCGGACGGGUGAGUAACACGUGGAUAACCUACCUAUAAGACUGGGAUAACGUCGGGAAACCGGAGCUAAUACCGGAUAAUAUGUUGAACCGCAUGGUUCAAUAGUGAAAGACGGUUUUGCUGUCACUUAUAGAUGGAUCCGCGCCGCAUUAGCUAGUUGGUAAGGUAACGGCUUACCAAGGCGACGAUGCGUAGCCGACCUGAGAGGGUGAUCGGCCACACUGGAACUGAGACACGGUCCAGACUCCUACGGGAGGCAGCAGUAGGGAAUAUUCCGCAAUGGGCGAAAGCCUGACGGAGCAACGCCGCGUGAGUGAUGAAGGUCUUCGGAUCGUAAAACUCUGUUAUUAGGGAAGAACAAAUGUGUAAGUAACUAUGCACGUCUUGACGGUACCUAAUCAGAAAGCCACGGCUAACUACGUG